rfam:Triticum aestivum genome assembly, contig: Triticum_aestivum_CS42_TGACv1_scaffold_147153_2BS
UUCAUACUCCCUCCAUCUUGAAUUACUUGUCGCAGAAAUGGAUGUAUCUAGAACUAAAAAUACAUCUAGAUACAUGCAUUUCUGCGACAAGUAAUUCGGGGUGGAGGGAGUACUAC